rnacentral:rRNA from 1 species
CGCAGCCGCGGUAAUUCCAGCUCCAAUAGCGUAUAUUAAAGUUGUUGCAGUUAAAAAGCUCGUAGUUGAAUUUCGGGGUUAGUAGGUUGGUCGUGCCACUGGUACGUACUGGUCUCACUGACUCCUCCUUCCUGAUGAACUGUAAUGCCAUUAAUUUGGUGUUGCAGGGAAACUGGACUGUUACUUUGAAAAAAUUGAGUGUUUAAAGCAAGCUAACGCUUGAAUACAUUAGUAUGGAAUAAUGAAAUAGGACGUUCGAUCCUAUUUUGUUGGUUUCUAGGAUUGACGUAAUGAUUAAUAGGGAUAGUUGGGGGCAUUAGUAUUCAAUUGUCAGAGGUGAAAUUCUUGGAUUUAUUGAAGACUAACUACUGCGAAAGCAUUUGCCAAGGAUGUUUUCAUUAAUCAAGAACGAAGUUAGGGAUCGAAGACGAUCAGAUACCGUCGUAGU